rnacentral:rRNA from 1 species
AGUGAACGCUGGCGGUAGGCCUAACACAUGCAAGUCGAACGGCAGCACAGUAAGAGCUUGCUCUUACGGGUGGCGAGUGGCGGACGGGUGAGGAAUACAUCGGAAUCUACUUUUUCGUGGGGGAUAACGUAGGGAAACUUACGCUAAUACCGCAUACGACCUACGGGUGAAAGAAGGGGAUCUUCGGACCUUGCGCGAUUGAAUGAGCCGAUGUCGGAUUAGCUAGUUGGCGGGGUAAAGGCCCACCAAGGCGACGAUCCGUAGCUGGUCUGAGAGGAUGAUCCGGCACACUGGAACUGAGACACGGUCCCGACUCCUACGGGAGGCAGCCGUGGGGAAUAUUGGACAAUGGGCGCAAGCCUGAUCCAGCCAUACCGCGUGGGUGAAGAAGGCCUUCGGGUUGUAAAGCCCUUUUGUUGGGAAAGAAAAGCAGCAGGUUAAUACCCCGCUGUUCUGACGGUACCCAAAGAAUAAGCACCGGCUAACUUCGUG